AACAUAUGAAGGCUAAGGAAAAAUUAUCAUUCUUCCCCUAAAGAAUGCAUUUCAAGCUACGAAAAUGAGGCAUCAUUGCAUAAUGAUCAUGCAAUUUCAGAAGACUGCCAACGUUGUGGCAAACUGGUGCUGAAAGCUAAAAUCAUGCUCAUUUCCACUUCUCAUCAUUAGUAUUUCCACUUCAGUGUCACAGCAAUGCUGAUUGCCAAUGACUUUGAGAGCAAACCUGAUCAGAACAGGCAGUUCCAGGAACAAAUAUGGAGCUUGCUUAAUCAAAGGAUGUACAAGUAGGUUUUCUUUGGAAUGUGAUGGCAUCUGGGAUUUUUUUGAUGGACAAAGGCACUAGAAAUGACAGCAAAAUUUGUAAGUCUGAUAGGCAAAGGAAGGAACUGAGAUGGUGAGCAGGCAUAGAAGAGGAACAUUGGCUACAACUGUGCCUUUUCAGAUGAGAUGUCCUGAGGAUAACAGAGAGGUAAUAAAGAGACAUAAGUGUAGCAUGAAGAAUACUCUACACAGGUGAUCACCAUCAUUAAAUGAAGUCUUGAUUCACAGCCACAUCUCUUACUAGAUCUGUGAGUUAAGAGAUUUCCUCCUGUAGUCUGCCUGCCUCUAAUACUGUUUUAUCACCUGAAAGUAUAAGAUAAGAUCUUUACCAAAGAUGAUCGUGAAAAUGAAAUUACAUAUUAUUCAUCUCCUAAUUCAAGCCUUGGAAUGUUUUAAAUGCUUAUAUGAAUGCUAUUAGUUUGUGUUAGAUUUCAAAAAUAGAAGCAACAGAACAUUUAUGUGAUAAAGAGCAUUUAAAAUUAAAAGGCAAACGAAAAGGCCCUGUGCUAUGCUUAUCCCAAUAUAUAUGCCAUUGUACAAAAAGAUCUUGUGGGCUUUUUUCCCUGUUCUUUUAUUCAUUGGCCCUAUAAGCACUUAGCACUUAGGGAGAUGUGAACAGCCAUAAAUUUGGAAUUUGACUAUAAAAGACAACAGCCUAAUUUACAAAUAAGAUUCUAAUACUCAUAUUCCAUUUCAGUAUAAUAGAGGAACUGGAUGAGGAACAAUGAAUCCUGCUUUGAUUAUUUAGCGUAAAAAUUCUUUUAAUAUCGCUGCUGGUGGAAUGAUAUUCAUGCAUGUAUCACUCUUUCACUGAAAAUGCCUGUUCUAUUUGCAGAGGUGUCUAAUGCAGCAUUCUUGUGGGUUGUUUCAUUCAGUCUAUAGAAAGAGCAUUCUUAUUCUCUAGUGGAGGUUGUUUGUGGUGAAUUUGACUGAAUUUCCUAUUAAAAGAAAGAAAAAUGUCAACACAAAGAAGACAAUUUAUAACUCCAGUUAUCCAAGCCCAAUCUGAGCCUUCUGUUUAUUAUAAUAAAUAAUCACCUGAAUUGUUCCUGCCUCCAGGUUUCUCGUGGUGACGGAUUGCAUUUCUCACAAAGAACGACACACUGUGCCCAAUACACAUUUCAUUGACAACAGCGGGACACAGCAUGGAAGAAGAUAUCUUCAGCAACUCAUUUGUUUUAGAGACAAAGAUACCAAGAUGUGGAGACAGAAAAUGAUCUGGUCACUGUCAAACGGCAAAGACUCUACAGUCGUUCCAAGAUCUUCCUUGACUCCACCUAUCAUCAAUUGACCUGCACCUGUGUUCUGAAGCUGUGUGUCCCCAGAACUCUCCCUUCCCCUACCUCUUAAAGGAGGUGUCUCUUCCUCUUCUUUAUUGUAGGAGGAAAUGAGUGUCCCUCGUUUCCAUCCCUAGGAUUCAUUGUUAUCUCACUAGAAUUUUCAGUAUAUAUAAUAUAUAAUUACAUUUGGUGUAUUUGCCUUAACCCAGCCAAUAAUUAAAUGGGUACAUUUUUCUUUA